AAUUAGUAUAAUAAGUACACUUUCUUUCCAAGUAAGAAGUCUCCUAAGAUUA
rnacentral:tRNA from 1 species